rnacentral:lncRNA from 1 species
GGCUCCCAACGGUCUAACAUCAAUCCCUACAACCCACGUGGUGGAAGAAGAAACCAACUCUCCCAAGUUGUCCUCUGACCACCCCCCCCCCACAUACACACACACAGGCCAAGGCACACACAAGCACAUGCACACAUACAUGCCAAGGUAUACACACACAAACACACACAUGCCAAGGCACACACAAGCACAUGCACACAUACAUGCCAAGAUAUACACACACAAACACACACAUGCUAAGGCACACACAAGCACAUGCACACACACAUGCCAAGAUAUAUACACACAAACACACACAUGCCAAGGCACACACAAGCACAUG